UUCCUGGUGGUCCACUGCUUAAGACUCUGCGCUCCCAAUGCAGAGGGCCCAGGUUUGAUUCCUGGCUGGGGAA
rnacentral:tRNA from 1 species